rnacentral:rRNA from 1 species
UACAGAGGGGGCAAGCGUUAUUCGGAAUUAUUGGGCGUAAAGGGCGCGUAGGCGGCUUUGCAAGUGACGGGUGAGAGCCCUCGGCUUAACCGAGGAACUGCCUGUCAGACUGUAAGGCUUGAGACCGGGAGAGGUGAGUGGAAUUCCCAGUGUAGCGGUGAAAUGCGUAGAUAUUGGGAGGAACACCAGUGGCGAAGGCGGCUCACUGGACCGGAACUGACGCUGAGGCGCGAAAGCGUGGGGAGCAAACAGG